GAUGAAGAACGCAGUGAAAUGCGAUACGUAAUGUGAAUUGCAGAAUUCAGUGAAUCAUCGAGUCUUUGAACGCACAUUGCGCCCCCUGGUAUUCCGGGGGGCAUGCCUGUCCGAGCGUCAUUGCUGCCCUCAAGCACGGCUUGUGUGUUGGGCCUCCGUCCUCCUCCCGGGGGACGGGCCCGAAAGGCAGCGGCGGCACCGCGUCCGGUCCUCGAGCGUAUGGGGCUUCGUCACCCGCUCUUGUAGGCCCGGUCGGCGCUUGCCGACACAUCAAUCUUUUUUCCAGGUUGACCUCGGAUCAGGUAGGGAUACCCGCUGAACUUAAGCAUAUCAAUAAGCGGAGGA
rnacentral:misc_RNA from 1 species